UUUUUGCUUCUGCUCUUAUUAUAUCAGACCCAGCCUGAAAUAUUAAAGGACCACUAUAGUGCCAGGAAAACAUACUCGUUUUCCUGGCACUAUAGAGUCCCUAGGUCCCCGCCGGGCUCUAGGGUGAGAAAGGGAUUAAAAGCUUACCUUUUCUCCACCGCCGGGCUCCCUCGGCGGUGGGGACUCUCCGCCUCCUUUCCCCGUCAUCGGCAGAAUGCGCAUGCAAUUCUCAAUGCUUUCCUAUGGACGCUGGCGUGCUCUCACUGUGAAAAUCACAGUGAGAAGCGUGGAAGCGCCUCUAGCGGCUGUCAAUGAGACAGCCACUAGAGGCUGGAUUAACCCAUAGGUAAACAUAGCAGCUUCUCUGAAACAGCAGAAAGGGUUAAUCCUAGAUGGACCAGGCACCCAGAC